CUUAUGAACAGUGUAUUUAGCACAUUUACCAAUUUACCCUCUUACCUUUUCUUCUCCAGUCCAACCUGCAUUCACCAGCCUAGAAAUCACUAACCCCUCUCUUCUUCAGUAUCCUCCUCUCUCCUUUCAAGAAACCUGGACUCCGGCCUCCAUCGCGCCACCUCUUGUGGCCGAAUUCUCCCGCCCCUCUCUUCUUUCAUUCUCCUCCUCUCUCUUCAAGAACCAUGAAAUCCAGCCUUCAUCGCGCCCUCUCUUGUGGCCGAGCAGAACAGAGGGAGAAAAAGAGGGAGGCGGCGGCGGUGGGAACUACUGUUGGAACUGGCGGUGGUGGCGUCGGCGAGGCAGAGGCGACAGGGAAAAAAAAAUCUCUCUCCUCUCAUUUGUUUUAGGUUUUAUUUUCCGUCGUUUUUAGCUGUCGAGCAUCUCCAUAAUGGUCUUCUCUCGAAUUAUGGCCAAGUUUGAGAAAACCUUCAUUCUAUCAUUUGCAAGUAUAGUUCGAUAUGCUGCAGCCUGCUAAUGCUGAGGAAGUGGGUUUCAUCAAGUUCAGUCUGAUUUGCUGGUCUGGUUUCUUUCAGUUCAGUCUGAUUUGCUGCAUUACUCCAUAUUCUUGAAUUGGGAACUUGGGAAUUAAAUGCUAUAGUGUUUGAGUGCCUCGGCUAAUAAACUAGAUAAGCUCAAGACACAAGCAUCAGACUAUGCAGCUUUCAUCAUGAACGAGCUUCAUCCUCAACGCCUAGGAUAUUAAAACUUUAGGGAACUUGAAACAUUAUUUUCUCGGGGAAUGAAGACUAAAGUCAACAACGAAGCCCAUGUGGAGAUGAUUCCUGAUAAAUCAGUUUGGAAAGUGGUAUCUAGGACAGCAGAAUAUUUUUAGGUGUCUAACAUCAUGCCUUAUGCUAGUGAUUAUUUAUAAUCUAUUGAUUGUUCAUGGAUACGUCUUUCUCCUCUCUUACAAGCAGAGGCGUAUUAACAAGUGUUACAUGAAAUCAAUUUGUAUAUGGCUCGAGCUGAUAUCAAUAUCAUUCGAGUUGUAAUAAUGAAUGCAGACAUGGAUGCAUUUCGCCUUUUAGUACUGUUUUUUCUACUGAAACUAUCUAGGGACAGUGGUUAUUAUGAUAGUAUCAUGGAUUCAUGUUA